UGGGGCGUGGCCAAGUGGUAAGGCAAUGGGUUUUGAUCCCAUCAUUCGGAGGUUCGAAUCCUUCCGUCCCAG
rnacentral:tRNA from 1 species